CUAACUACGUGCCAGCAGCCGCGGUAAGACGUAGGACGCAAGCGUUAUCCGGAUUUACUGGGCGUAAAGCGCCUGUAGGCGGUCAAGUAAGUCGGAUGUGAAAGCCCCGUGCUCAACGCGGGGAAGCCAUUCGAUACUGCGUGACUAGAGAACGGCAGAGGGAAACGGAAUUUCUGGUGUAGCGGUAAAAUGCGCAGAGAUCAGAAAGAACACCGAUGGCGAAGGCAGUUUCCUAGGCCGCAUCUGACGCUGAGAGGCGAAAGCUAGGGGAGCAAACAGGAUUAGAGACCCUGGUAGUCCUAGCUGUAAACGAUGGAUGCUAGGUGUGGGCCGGAAAGGUCCGUGCCGCAGUUAACGCGAUAAGCAUCCCGCCUGGGGAGUACGGCCGCAAGGCUAAAACUCAAACGAAUUGACGGGGACCCGCACAAGCAGCGGAGCGUGUGGUUUAAUUCGAUGCUACACGCAGAACCUUACCUGGGCUUGACAUGUAGGUGGUAGUGAAGUGAAAGCGGAGCGACCCUUCGGGGAGCCUACACAGGUGCUGCAUGGCUGUCGUCAGCUCGUGCCGUGAGGUGUCGGGUUAAGUCCCGUAACGAGCGCAACCCUUGUCCUUAGUUACAAGUGUCUAAGGAGACUGCCGGUGACAAACCGGAGGAAGGUGGGGAUGACGUCAAGUCAGCAUGGCCCUUAUGUCCAGGGCGACACACACGCUACAAUGGUCGGUACAAUGGGCAGCGCAGCCGCGAGGUGAAGCGAAUCCCAACAAAGCCGAUCCCAGUUCGGAUUGCAGGCUGCAACCCGCCUGCAGAAGCCGGAGUU
rnacentral:rRNA from 1 species